AUCGCUUCUCGGCCUUUUGGCUAAGAUCAAGUGUAAAUAAAUAUAUUCAAACAAAAUACUCAAAAUUCAUGAAUUUUAAUAUCUUACUGUAUAUUCACAUUACCUAUGCUCUCGAUAUUACUUAU
rnacentral:snRNA from 1 species